rnacentral:lncRNA from 1 species
UAAUUAUAAUAAUAUUAAACUGGUAAGGUUAUCUGGAGAAUAAAAAAGAACAAAAAAAGAAAAUUAAAAGUGGAAUGAAGCAUGAAUGGUCCAAAGUAUGUAUCUGUAUUAACAUGCAUAAUGCAUCAAAUGUCUCUUUACACUUUUUAUCUUUGAGGGGUAUAUGUUCCCCUAACCCCAUCCAGGGUAUCUCUUUUCCUCUUUCCUCAUCUAGUCUGGAAAGAUGUAAGAGGACCGCGCCCCUGUGGAUGACGGCGUACCCUCUGACGAGAGUGGUGACGCGAAUAUCUAUGAGAGGUCACCUUUGG